GACGAACGCUGGCGGCGUGCCUAAUACAUGCAAGUCGAGCGCUCCUAUCCUGAGCUUGCUCCUCUGACAUUAGCGAAGAACGGGUGCGGACCGCGUGGUAACCCUAGCUAAACGUAUGCGAUAAAUUCGGAAAACCGUAGCUAAUAGCGGCUAAUAUAUCAUACCAGUUUAUUCCGUAUUGCAAAAGGGUGUUACUGUCACUUAGAGAUGGAUCCGCGCCGCAUUAGCUAGUUGGUAAGGUAACGGCUUACCAAGGCAACGAUGCGUAGCCGACCUGAGAGGGUGAUCGGCCACACUGGAACUGAGACACGGUCCAGACUCCUACGGGAGGCAGCAGUAGGGAAUCUUCGGCAAUGGGCGAAAGCCUGACGGAGCAACGCCGCGUGAGUGAAGAAGGUCUUCGGAUCGUAAAACUCUGUUAUUAGGGAAGAACAAAGGCGUAAGUAACUAAGCGCGUCUUGACGGUACCUAAUCAGAAAGCCACGGCUAACUACGUG
rnacentral:rRNA from 1 species